rnacentral:rRNA from 1 species
AUUGAACGCUGGCGGCAGGCUUAACACAUGCAAGUCGAGCGGAGCGAGGGUGCUUGCACCUUAGCUUAGCGGCGGACGGGUGAGUAAUGCUUAGGAAACUGCCUAUUAGUGGGGGACAACAUCUCGAAAGGGAUGCUAAUACCGCAUACGUCCUACGGGAGAAAGCAGGGGAUCUUCGGACCUUGCGCUAAUAGAUGAGCCUAAGUCGGAUUAGCUAGUUGGUGGGGUAAAGGCCUACCAAGGCGACGAUCUGUAGCGGGUCUGAGAGGAUGAUCCGCCACACUGGGACUGAGACACGGCCCAGACUCCUACGGGAGGCAGCAGUGGGGAAUAUUGGACAAUGGGGGGAACCCUGAUCCAGCCAUGCCGCGUGUGUGAAGAAGGCCUUAUGGUUGUAAAGCACUUUAAGCGAGGAGGAGGCUACUUUAGUUAAUACCUAGAGAUAGUGGACGUUACUCGCAGAAUAAGCACCGACUAACUCUGUGCCAGCCGCCGCAGUAA